rnacentral:rRNA from 1 species
AACGAACGCUGGCGGCAUGCCUAACACAUGCAAGUCGAACGAGACCUUCGGGUCUAGUGGCGCACGGGUGCGUAACGCGUGGGAACCUGCCCUUAGGUUCGGAAUAACUCCCUGAAAGGGGUGCUAAUACCGGAUAAUGUCUUCGGACCAAAGAUUUAUCGCCUUUGGAUGGGCCCGCGUUGGAUUAGCUAGUUGGUAGGGUAAAAGCCUACCAAGGCGACGAUCCAUAGCUGGUCUGAGAGGAUGAUCAGCCACACUGGGACUGAGACACGGCCCAGACUCCUACGGGAGGCAGGAGUGGGGAAUAUUGGACACUAGGCGAAAGCCUGAUCCAGCAAGGCCGCGUGAGUGAUGAAGGCCUUAGGGUUGUAAAGCUCUUUUACCCAGGAUGAUAAUGACAGUACCGGGAGAAUAAGCUCCGGCUAACACCGU